UUGCAGUUAAAAAGCUCGUAGUUGGAUUUCUGGGUCAAGCUCCUGGUCCGCCGCUACGCGGUGCAGACUGUGUGUAGCGUUGGCUCAUCCUUGUGGGAAAUUCAGUGAGGCGUUCAGUCGUCAGCUGUUGGAACCGCAUCAUUUACUGUGAAAAAAUUAGAGUGUUCAAAGCAGGCUUACGCUGUGAAUACAUUAGCAAGGAAUAAUAAGAUAGGACUUUGGUUCUAUUUUGUUGGUUGGAGGCCAAGGUAAUGAUUAAUGGGGAUAGUUGGGGGUAUUCAUAUUUAAUUGUCAGAGGUGAAAUUCUUGGAUUUAUGAAAGAUGAACUUAUGCGAAAGCAUUUACCAAGGAUGUUUUCAUUAAUCAAGAACGAAAGUUAGGGGAUCGAAGAGGAUUAGAUACCCUCGUAGUCUUAACCAUAAACUAUGCCGACUCGGGAUUGGAGGGCGUAUAUCAAUGAGCCUUUCAGCACCGUAUGAGAAAUCAAAGUCUUUGGGUUCCGGGGGGAGUAUGGUCGCAAGGCUGAAACUUUAAAAGGAAUUGACCGGAAGGGGCACC
rnacentral:rRNA from 1 species